rnacentral:rRNA from 1 species
GUGCAGCAGGCGAGAAUACUUUACAAUGUGCGAAAGCACGAUAAGGGAACUCUGAGUGCCUCCUAAGGAGGCUGUUCAGGUGUCUAAAAGCACCUGAAGGAAGGGCUGGGUAAGACCGGUGCCAGCCGCCGCGGUAACACCGGCAGCCCAAGUGGUAGCCACGUUUAUUGGGUCUAAAGCGUCCGUAGCCGGCUGGGUAAGUUCCUUGGGAAAUUUGGCUGCUUAACAGUCAAGCUUUCAGGGAAUACUGCUCGGCUUGGGACCGGGAGAGGUCAGAGGUACUCCAGGGGUAGGGGUGAAAUCCAUUAAUCCUUGGGGGACCACCGGUAGCGAAGGCGUCUGACCAGACCGGGUCCGACGGUGAGGGACGAAGGCUAGGGGCGCGAACCGGAUUAGAUACCCGCGUAGU